GGCGAGAGCUGGGGGCGCAGCCAUGGCAUCCGACGAUUUUGUCAGAUGCGGACGGGAGCAGCAAU
rnacentral:SRP_RNA from 16 species